rnacentral:rRNA from 1 species
AGCCUUAAGGUAAUUAUUUAAGGUCAGACCUGCCCAGUGUAAGAAGAUGUAUAAAUGGCCGCGGUACUUUGACCGUGCUAAGGUAGCGCAAUCAAUUGGUUUUUAAAUGGAGCCAGGUAUGAAUGGAGUUACGGGGUUUUUCUGUCUCCUAGCUAAUUUAUCGAAGUUACUAUGUAGGUGAAAAAGCCUAUGAAAAGAAAAAGGACGAGAAGACCCUUAGAGUUUUUUUUCAAAGCAGUUUGGUUGGGGCAACAUGGGAACAGAGUAAAAUUUAUCGAAUAUUUUAGAAGUAAACAAACUACCUUAGGGAUAACAGCAUAAUUUUAUAAAUAAGUUUGUGACCUCGAUGUUGGACUGGGAAACUACAAGGUUAGCCGCCUUUUAGGUAAGUUCUGUUCGAACUAUAAUUCCC